rnacentral:SRP_RNA from 1 species
UGACAGACUAGGCUGGCGUGCUAGUUCCACGCUGUUACUACAAGCGAACUUUAGGUAGAGCUGAAGCUGGUGAGGAGGCAUAGAUUACUAUUGCCAGUCCUGCAUCGUACAACGAUCCUUUGUCCUGAUUGGUUGAAUAUAUGGAGAACCGGAUCAGGUCAGGAAUGAAGCAGUCCUAACCUAUAUGUUUGGCGCUUUCAGGGAAAUGAAGGGGAGGAAAGUGCAGGAUUCAACUGUCAGUGGUAAUUUGUAUCCACUUGCUGGCAUGUCUGUCU